GAUGAAGAACGCAGCGAAACGCGAUAGUUAAUGUGAAUUGCAGAAUUCAGUGAAUCAUCGAAUCUUUGAACGCACAUUGCGCCCGCCAGUAUUCUGGCGGGCAUGCCUGUUCGAGCGUCAUUACAACCCUCAGGCCCCCGGGCCUGGCGUUGGGGAUCGGCGGAAGCCCCCUGCGGGCACAACGCCGUCCCCCAAAUACAGUGGCGGUCCCGCCGCAGCUUCCAUUGCGUAGUAGCUAACACCUCGCAACUGGAGAGCGGCGCGGCCACGCCGUAAAACACCCAACUUCUGAAUGUUGACCUCGAAUCAGGUAGGAAUACCCGCUGAACUUAAGCAUAUCAAUAAGCGGAGGA
rnacentral:misc_RNA from 1 species